rnacentral:rRNA from 1 species
CGGGGGGAACGCGAAGAACCUUACCUAAGCUUGACAUCCUUUUGACCUCUCCCUAAUCGGAGAUUUCCCUUCGGGGACAGAAGUGACAGGUGGUGCAUGGUUGUCGUCAGCUCGUGUCGUGAGACGUUGGGUUAAGUCCCGCAACGAGCGCAACCCUUGCCUUUAGUUGCCAGCAUUAAGUUGGGCACUCUAGAGGGACUGCCAGGGAUAACCUGGAGGAAGGUGGGGACGACGUCAAAUCAUCAUGCCCCUUAUGCUUAGGGCUAUACACGUGCUACAAUGGGUGGUACAGAGGGUUGCCAAACCGUGAGGUGGAGCUAAUCCCAGAAAACCGGUCGUAGUCCGGAUCGCAGUCUGCAACUCAACUGCGUGAAGUCGGAAUCGCUAGUAAUCGCGGAUCAGCUUGCCGCGGUGAAUACGUUCCCGGGUCUUGUACACACCGA